CGUCAGUGGGCUGCUGUGGAGUCGUCUUGGGCGCUGGAGAUCCCGGACUAGGGACCUUCCCACCGACAGGUGGACAACUGUGUAAUAUGCAAAGAAUGACAAUUUUUGCUUCACUGUACCUAUAUAUGGAUUUACAAGGUUAUUUACUGAAGCAUUGCUUGUGAUUAAUAUUGGAAAAUAUCCCAUCAACAGCGGAUUAGCCAUUUCCCUAUACUUCUACAUGCAUGCUGGAGGAAUGAAUGUGUGAAGAUGGGCUGAUUUCAUGAUAGCAGAAGGUUGCUUCAUCAACUCCUCCAGCCCUGAGGCACUGCAGUUAAUGUUCUGGCAAAUGACCAGAGAGAAGAGGAUGGAGGCCAAGAACCCUCUUGUCAGUGAAGAUGAGUAUGAGGUUCUUCUGUAACAAAGCAAGGUCCUUGGUCAGGAAAGGCAGAGUGGAUCAAGGACACUAGAGACAAACACUGUGUGGACCAAUUGGCUGACAUUUGGGGGUGGGGCAGGGUUGGAACCAGGAGGAAGGAAAUUCUGGACUUUGUUCUGAGCAUGUGGUGCUUAAGCAGUUUAUUGGAAAUAAUAUGAAUGUGAGUUUUUAUACCCUUAUAGAUCCUACCUGUUAAAGAAAACUCUUGGACUUUGCACUCUGCCCACUCCACAUUUGAAAUGCUACUCCCUCUCUCUGGUUUCCUCCACACUUGUUAGCCACUUGCCAGUGUGGUCUCCUAGAAGUGUUACCUACAGACCAAGACAUUCCCAGGCCACUUAAGCUAAGUAGUGUCUUUCACCUAUCCUCAUUCUCAAGCCUAUAAUCCUAUUUUAUUUUCUUCAAAGCACUUAUCAAUGGGAUUAUGCUAUAUUUUACUGUGUAAUUGUUUAUCCCCAGAGUUGGCGAGCUUUUUCUGUAAAGAACCAGAGAGACAAUACUUGAGGUUUUGUGGGUCACAUAGUCUCUGUCACGAAAGCCAGCAUGCCUGAUAUGCAAAUACAUGAGCCUGCCUGUGUUCCAGUAAAGCUUUAUUUAUGUGCACCCGAAUAGGAAUGUCAUAAUUUUUCACGUCUCACAAAAUUUUAUUCUUCUCUUGAUUUUUUUCAGCCAUGAAAAAAUUAAAAACCAUUUGUAGUUCAUGGGCUAUAUAAAAACAAGCAGUGGACUCAAUUUGGCCUUUGAGCCAUAGUUUGCUGACACAUAUAACUUGUUUAUUUUCGGUUCCUCUUCUCCAUCUCCCCUCCAGUUUCAAAAAACCAAAGCCAAUUUCUUUCUCCGUUAAGAGUUCACCACAUGGGGCCAGCGCAGUGGCUCACAUGGCUAAUCCUCUGGCUGCGGCGCCAGCAUCCCAUAUGGGUGCCGGGUUCUAGUCCCGGUUGCUCCUCUUCCAGUCCAGCUCUCUGCUGUGGCCAGGGAGUACAGUGGAGGAUGGCCCAAAUACUUGCGCCCCUGCACCCGCAUGGGAGACUAGGAGGAAGCACCUGGCUCCUGUCUUCGGAUGGGCGCAGCGCCGGCUGUAGCGGCCAUUUGGGGAGUGAAUCAAUGGAAGGAAGACCUGUCUCUCUGUCUCUCUCUCUCACUGUCUGCAACUCUACCUUUCUAAUAAAUUAAAAAAAUAAAAAUCAAAAAAAGAGUUCACCACAUAUAACUCCUUGUUGGUGUGAUAUACACAAAAGACAUUCAGCUGUGUUGUGUCAUGUGCUAUACACUGUGGCACAGGCUGUCACUAAAAAGCAUCUCAAAUAAAUGACAUCUCCUAGAUUUGUGCAGCAUACCACCUGCACAGCCUUACAAGGUAGUUCUGAGAUUCUUAUGCGUUCUUUUGAUCCUUUGUGACUCUCUAGUAUGAUGCCAAUUCUGUAAUCCCUUCUGUAUAGUGUUAAGUAUAACACUUUAAAUAUUAUUUUAGACUCUUUUUAGUAUAUUCACCCAUUAACAUAAUUUUCCUCAGCUUCUGUCAUAGCAGUUAUGGUUGCUAGUUUUUUGCAUGUGGCCCUGUUUAAAUAUGCAGUUUGUAAAAAUUAAACCCACAUGGUAAAACCCAACAUGUAUUUCUUUAGAAAUUUGCAGUUUUGCAAGAUCUUAAAAAGAAAUACUUACAUAAACUCUCUGAGCCACUGCCGUGGGUAUACCUGAUGUUUUUAUUAAUAUUCUCAAUAGCACGAACUGCUUCACUGGCCACUAGAGACUGGGAGCAAUAGGAUAUGAAAUUUCAGUGAAGUAUAUCUUUGAAACACAACAAGUAGGUUUCUAAGAAACUACCAUACAUUAAUUGAACCAAACUGUGCAUGUGAAAAAUAUGUAUUUGUCCUAAAGGUAAAUUAAGAAGAAGAAUAAAUUGACUAAAAACAUAUUUUUCACUGUAUGACAAUCAGAAGUAAAUGGCCUUAAACAAACUCUUCCAAUACCUUAAAAAUGUUACUCAAUUUGCAGAAAAAAUAAUUCUUGCAAGACUUUUCAUAAAUAUAGCUUGUUAUUAGUAAAGUGAAGUAGAAGUAUAUUUCAAAAGUGUGGAGUUAUUUCAGUCUUACACAAAAUUUCAGCAAACUUUAUAUCCAGCUUCCGUAAAUACAUGCACCUAAUACCUGAAUUGCUUCUCCUCCUUCUCACAAACUCAAUUGUAUCCCUUUGUAAAAUGUCUAGUGACUUCAAAAACCUCAUCAAAUACAAAAGAUUAUGCCCUUGUAGGAGACAAGAUAAUAACUAAAUCCCCCAUUUGACUGCAUUGAGUUUCAGCUUUCAGAGAUCUCUUCUGAGGUUCCUCCAAAAAUUUUUUUUUCUGAGAUUGGAAUUAACAUCGUGUCACUCUCUUGAAAAAUGUGGAGAAAUAACAAUGGAUAAUAUGUUGCACCAUUUAUUUGAAAAAUAAGCUUUAUGGAACCCCAUGGUCUAUAUAAUACAAUGCAUAUUUAUUCUGAAAUUCAACCCCCUUCAUGAGCUGACCUCUUCCACUUCCGGAUGGUGUCAGGCUCCACUUCUGCACCCUCAGCGUCCCCUGAAAAUCUUUCCUAUGAGAACUGCCCUCUCCUCUGAUUGAAAGGUCCUCCUUUCUCUAGUCACCUAUUGAAA